GGGAAGAUGGCCGAGCGGUUAUGGCGCUGCGUUCAGGAACUCCCCCUCUUCCACACACCAGGGGAAGAGGGAGACCACAGACCUGUUCAACGAGAUGAUAGUAUUUCGCAGUGGAGCAAUCCUCGUGGGUUCGAAUCCCACUCUUCUCA